UACGUAGGGUGCGAGCGUUAAUCGGAAUUACUGGGCGUAAAGCGUGCGCAGGCGGCGCGUUAAGACAGGUGUGAAAGCCCCGAGCUUAACUUGGGAAUUGCGCUUGUGACUGGCGUGCUGGAGUGUGGCAGAGGGAGGUGGAAUUCCACGUGUAGCGGUGAAAUGCGCAGAUAUCAGGAGGAACACCAAUUGCGAAGGCAGCUCGCUGGGACGUUACUGACGCUGAGACGCGAAAGCGUGGGGAGCAAACAGG
rnacentral:rRNA from 1 species